CCUACGGGAGGCAGCAGUAGGGAAUCUUCCACAAUGGGCGAAAGCCUGAUGGAGCAACGCCGCGUGGGUGAAGAAGGUCUUCGGAUCGUAAAACCCUGUUGUUAGAGAAAAAAGUUCGUGAGAGUACCUGUUCCCGUUUCGACGGUAUCUAACCAGACAGCCCCGGCUACCUCCGUCCCAGCCGCCGCGGUAAUACGUAGGGGGCAAGCUUUGUCCGGAUUUAUUGGGCGGAAAGGGAACGCAGGCGGGCUUUUAAGUCUGAUGUGAAAGGCUUCGGCUUAACCGGAGUAGUGCAGUGGAAACUGGGAGACUUGAGUGCAGAAGAGGAGAGUGGAAUU
rnacentral:rRNA from 1 species